rnacentral:lncRNA from 1 species
CCGGAACUAAUCAAAGAAGAAGAUAGAAAUCGGUAACAGAAUCAAGACACUAGAGGGGAAGAGAGAUCAAAAUAACUGAUCAAGAAAAUCAUUAACUAAAAGUCGACAGACACAAUGGAGAGAUGAGAGAAACAGAAAAGGUUUAGCAAGAAGGGAAGAAGAAGAUUGACAGACCAAAAUCGCAAAAGAAGUGGGGGAAAAGAGAAUGAUAUAUUCGGUAGUAAAGGACAAUUCCCCAAAUGAUCAAUUACCCCAACCCAAAAUUCUAAGUAGUCCCCACUC